rnacentral:rRNA from 1 species
CACGUAGGGGGCCAAGCGUUGUCCGGAUUUAUUGGGCGUAAAGAGCUCGUAGGCGGUUCAGUCAGUCGGGUGUGAAAUCCUGGAGCUCAACUCCAGAACUGCCUUCGAUACUGGAGAGCUCGAGUCCGGGAGAGGUGAGUGGAACUGCGAGUGUAGAGGUGAAAUUCGUAGAUAUUCGCAAGAACACCAGUGGCGAAGGCGGCUCACUGGCCCGGGUACUGACGCUGAGGUGCGAAAGCGUGGGGAGCAAACAGG